UGCGAAGGGAGCUAGCGUUGUUCGGAAUCACUGGGCGUAAAGCGCACGUAGGCGGAUGUGUCAGUCAGGGGUGAAAUCCCGGAGCUCAACUUCGGAACUGCCUUUGAUACAGCACGUCUUGAGUCCGGAAGAGGUGGGUGGAAUUCCUAGUGUAGAGGUGAAAUUCGUAGAUAUUAGGAAGAACACCGGUGGCGAAGGCGGCCCACUGGUCCGGUACUGACGCUGAGGUGCGAAAGCGUGGGGAGCAAACAGG
rnacentral:rRNA from 1 species